AUGAUCAUUGUAGUAAAAACACAUAUUUUAAUUUCAAGAAGAAAAGUUGUCCAAGGACAGGAGGAUGUAAUGAGAAUGAGAGUAACCAGAAAAGUAUGUACUAGAAAUCCGCAAGGAAGACAAGGCCUAAGUAGUCUGGAUAAGAUAAAAGGGGCAGAAAGACACUGGUAAGGUCCCUUGUUGCUUUUGCUACGUUCUGCCCACCAUGAACUGUUCUCUUUGAAGCUACCCUGCCUUGAAGCCAGCCAACUAUGGACUGAAACAUCUACAAACUAUGAGCUAAGCCUUUCCUCCUUUAACUUAGGGUACCAGUUAUUUUGUCUCACCAAUAAGAAAAGUAACUAAUACACCAAUAUUUGUAAAUACCCAAGUGGGCACAUUUAGAGAAGAGGCAAAUGCCCAUAUAAACAAAUGAGCUUGAGACCUACUGCUAAAUGAUUAAUCAGAGCAUAGACACAACACAUGAAUAAUGUGUGCACUUGAUAAUGGACAGAUGUGGUUGGGUCUAAUAUUAAUUUUUCAUAAUUCAAUAUGUUGUGUGUUGUAACAGACAUACUUAAUGCACUAAUGUGAAAUAAAGAUAUCUUUUCUGAAUUUUGGUGUCUGUGAUUUUUUGUCAUUUUAUGUAGACCAUCAUUCUUAACUGUCAUUAUUUUUGUUGCCACUCCUGUGUCUUAAGUCCUCAAUUAAGAUUUGAUUCAAUGGAAACUUUGUGAAGCCUCACCUGCAAGAGAUCACGACUUGGGUGAAAACUUCAUGGGCUAAAAUCACUGACAGCUGUGUUGUCAAUGCAUUACAUGUAGGCUACAUGCAGAAGUGCUCAUUUAAGGACAGCUCUAUUGCUGGACAUAAGAAAUUGGGGCCAAUGGCUCUACAGAAAAUGGGGUCAUAAAAAAUUCAGUCUGGAAUUUGGAGUUUCGAGAGUUAUGAUGAUGUUCCAGAAGAUGACAUGACUGAAUUUGAAUAAAUGUAAAUUUUUGUACGUGAAUAAUGUAGAUUGUGGUACACAAAUAAAUGUAGCUUGUUGUACAUGAAAAAAUAAGACACUUCUGGGCUGGGGAUUUAGCUCAGUGGUUCUACUGCCUGCCUGGCAAGCACAA
rnacentral:lncRNA from 1 species